rnacentral:tRNA from 1 species
CCCUUGGUGGCACAAAAGGUUUGCACUUGGCUGGUAACCAAAAGAUUGGUGGUUUAAACCCACCUUGUGGUG